GUGGGGAAUAUUGGACAAUGGGCGGAAGCCUGAUCCAGCCAUGCCGCGUGUGUGAAGAAGGCCUUUUGGUUGUAAAGCACUUUAAGCGAGGAGGAGGCUACCGAGAUUAAUACUCUUGGAUAGUGGACGUUACUCGCAGAAUAAGCACCGGCUAACUCUGUGCCAGCAGCCGCGGUAAUACAGAGGGUGCGAGCGUUAAUCGGAUUUACUGGGCGUAAAGCGUGCGUAGGCGGCUUUUUAAGUCGGAUGUGAAAUCCCUGAGCUUAACUUAGGAAUCGCAUUCGAUACUGGGAAGCUAGAGUAUGGGAGAGGAUGGUAGAAUUCCAGGUGUAGCGGUGAAAUGCGUAGAGAUCUGGAGGAAUACCGAUGGCGAAGGCAGCCAUCUGGCCUAAUACUGACGCUGAGGUACGAAAGCAUGGGGAGCAAACAGGAUUAGAUACCCGGGUAGUCC
rnacentral:rRNA from 1 species